GGCCUCCCUCUAUGGGGCGAUUGAUUGUGGGGCUCUGCAAUCGAUCGCCUCACAGAGGGAGGUU
rnacentral:pre_miRNA from 1 species